rnacentral:RNase_P_RNA from 1 species
CGGGCCGUCCGACCCGUCGCUGCGUCCCAGGGCUUCCCUUGGGACGUAGAGCAAAGUCCGGACUCGUAGCAGAGGCCGCUCGGGCCAACAACCCGAGGAGCGGCGCGGCGCAAGCCCGUCGCUACGUCAAGUGCAACAGAGAGCAGACCAGCCGAUGGCCGCGGGGUCUCCCUCCGGCACAGGUGAUGGGUGAAAGGGUGGGGUAAGAGCCCACCGGCGGCAUCCCGCGAGGGACCGGCCAGGUAAACCACCGGUGCGAGCAAGCCAAAUUGUCCGGGUCUCCCGGACUGGUAGGCGCAGCCUCUAGGCAGAGGCCCGGGGUCUCCCCGGAGAUGGAUGGCGGGAUAGAGCAGAAUCCGGCUUACGGGACGGCCCAGGCC